rnacentral:tRNA from 1 species
GCCCAGUUAGCUUAGUGGUUUAGCGCCUGUCUUUGGCCCAGGGCGUGAUCCUGGAGUCCUGGGAUCGAGUCCCACAUUGGGCU